GUGAACGCUGGCGGUAGGCCUAACCCAUGCAAGUCGAACGGCAGCACAGUAAGAGCUUGCUCUUACGGGUGGCGAGUGGCGGACGGGUGAGGAAUACAUCGGAAUCUACUUUUUCGUGGGGGGUAACGUAGGGAAACUUACGCUAAUACCGCAUACGACCUACGGGUGAAAGCAGGGGAUCUUCGGACCUUGCGCGAUUGAAUGAGCCGAUGUCGGAUUAGCUAGUUGGCGGGGUAAGGGCCCACCAAGGCGACGAUCCGUAGCUGGUCUGAGAGGAUGAUCAGCCACACUGGAACUGAGACACGGUCCAGACUCCUACGGGAGGCAGCAGUGGGGAAUAUUGGACAAUGGGCGCAAGCCUGAUCCAGCCAUACCGCGUGGGUGAAGAAGGCCUUCGGGUUGUAAAGCCCUUUUGUUGGGAAAGAAAAGCAGCAGGUUAAUACCCCGCUGUUCUGACGGUACCCAAAGAAUAAGCACCGGCUAACUUCGUG
rnacentral:rRNA from 1 species